AGUGAACGCUGGCGGUAGGCCUAACACAUGCAAGUCGAACGGCAGCACAGUAAGAGCUUGCUCUUACGGGUGGCGAGUGGCGGACGGGUGAGGAAUACAUCGGAAUCUACUUUUUCGUGGGGGAUAACGUAGGGAAACUUACGCUAAUACCGCAUACGACCUACGGGUGAAAGCAGGGGAUCUUCGGACCUUGCGCGUUUGAAUGAGCCGAUGUCGGAUUAGCUAGUUGGCGGGGUAAAGGCCCACCAAGGCGACGAUCCGUAGCUGGUCUGAGAGGAUGAUCAGACACACUGGAACUGAGACACGGUCCAGACUCCUACGGGAGGCAGCAGUGGGGAAUAUUGGACAAUGGGCGAAAGCAUGAUCCAGCAAUACCGCGUGGGUGAAGAAGGCCUUCGGGUUGUAAAGCCCUUUUGUUGGGAAAGAAAAGCAGCAGGUUAAUACCCAGCUGUUCUGACGGUACCCAAAGAAUAAGCACCGGCUAACUUCGUG
rnacentral:rRNA from 1 species